rnacentral:rRNA from 1 species
AUUGAACGCUGGCGGCAGGCCUAACACAUGCAAGUCGAACGAGUGGCGGACGGGUGAGUAAUGUCUGGGAAACUGCCUGAUGGAGGGGGAUAACUACUGGAAACGGUAGCUAAUACCGCAUACCAUCGGAUGUUCCCAGAUGGGAUUAGCUAGUAGGUGGGGUAAAGGCUCACCUAGGCGGCGCUCCCUAGCUGGUCUGAGAGGAUGACCAGCAACAGUGGAACUGUGCCACGGGCCAGACUCCUGCGGGAGGGAGCAGUGGGGAAGAUUGCACAAUGGGCGAAAGCCUGAUGCAGCCAUGCCGGGUGUAUGAAGAAGGCCUUCGGGUUGUAAAGUACUUUCAGCGGGGAGGCGUUACCCGCAGAAGAAGCACCGGCUAACUCCGUGCCAGCAGCCGCGGUAAUAC